CCGCGCUUCUAUCAUAUAAGCGCGCCGGCGCUGCGCUCGUCUCAUUGGCCGGCACGACGCACGCGCGUUCACUACAGUGCCCCGACAACUCGCGACCGUGCACUAAACGAACUGUUGUGUUGACUGUGCUAACAUGGAUAUACUAACACUGGACCCAACUGGACUUUAUUAAAAAAACUGAAACAUGGACUCCACUCUGGACCCCACCGGUCAGUACUAACUUCUACCCCAUACUCGUCCAAAUCCUAUUAGAAUCUUAUAAAAAUGGAUACAAAAGUACUCGAUCCUACCGGGCAAUACUAAACGCGAAAAUGAUCGGUUUAGACCCCACGGAAAUAUACUAAACCCCAUCUCCGAUGAGACAAGAUGUGUUGCGGAAGACGCAGAAUAUACACUGGCACCAGUCCGCGGGAGACCUCGUCGUGUCGCAAGCGCAGGGUUCCGCCCCGGCCUGGCCACUGAACGAUAAACAACUCAUCGCCUGUAAAUACUAUGAAUAAAAUGAAGGGAGGACGUGUACGCAAGGUCAUUGGAUGGAAAUCAGCUGACUCGCGCGCCGCGUGCAAUCCGGAAAUGUACACCCAUAGAAACAACAUCCACCUUAUGGAGAGAAAAACAUUUUGCAACAAGCUGGUUCACUUUGGACAACACUACAUUUCAAUCUAAAUGUAAUCGCGACCAUCGGCCUUCAGUCUCACAUCAUCACUAAUCAUCAUCUUCAUCUCCACCAUCACCAAAUCCAAUCUCAUCACUUCAUUAAGAUAAAUACUCAUUAGUAAAUAAUGUUUUAUACGACUGAUGUUAUUUUCACAAGAAAUAAUUGCACAUAUCUUCAUGCAUUUGUAUUUUAUAUAAAUUAUUAUAAUUUUGUUGUAAGCCGAUGCUACUUUGUUGAUAUGAGUUUUUUUUUAAUUUUUGUAUUAAAAAAGUAACAUCACUAUUAGUUUAAGAAAAUUGAAUGACAAGCAAAAAGAGGCAAAGGGUAUUUUGAAUGGUUUUCUUCACACAGACUGUACAUUAUUUCGAGAGACCUUCAAAAAUUGACCGCAAACAUAUAUAUAGAAAAAAUAUUAGAUAUAAGACCCUAGUUUAUGAUUUUGGCUCCUUGAAUACGUAACUUCCAACACAAUUCGAGUUACCAUGUUAUACCUUCCGCUUGAUAAAGUGUAAAUAGAGUUGCAACGCUUUUCCAAUGCUUCUUGUUGGCUCAUAGAUUCUAUGUUUAAUUUUCGUCUUAAAUUAGCAUAUUCUAUUAUUAUGUAGAUAAAUUAGAUAAGACUGUAUUAAAUUUAAGCGGCUAUUUUUUAAAUUCAGUGUUGCCAAUUAAGACUGAAUUAAUAAAAAUUAAAGAAUAACCUCUUUCGUCCUUCUUAUGGUAAAAAGGCCCAGAAAGGAUCCCACCCUACAAAUUUUGAAAAUUAUGUAUUUUUAAGCAAGUAAAGGCAUAAUAUAGGGGGUAAUAAAGAUGUUUAUAUUAUUUUGAAAUUGA